GACGAACGCUGGCGGCGUGCUUAACACAUGCAAGUUGAACGGAAAGGCCCUGCUUUUGUGGGGUGCUCGAGUGGCGAACGGGUGAGUAACACGUGAGUAACCUGCCCUUGACUUUGGGAUAACUUCAGGAAACUGGGGCUAAUACCGGAUAGGAGCUCCUGCUGCAUGGUGGGGGUAGGAAAGUUUCGGCGGUUGGGGAUGGACUCGCGGCUUAUCAGCUUGUUGGUGGGGUAGUGGCUUACCAAGGCUUUGACGGGUAGCCGGCCUGAGAGGGUGACCGGCCUCAUUGGGACUAAGAGACGGCCCAGACUCCUACGGGAGGCAGCGGGGGGGAAUAUUGCACAGUGGGCGGAAGCCUGAUGCAGCAACGCCGCGUGCGGGAUGACGGCCUUCGGGUUGUAAACCGCUUUCGCCUGUGACGAAGCGUGAGUGACGGUAAUGGGUAAAGAAGCACCGGCUAACUACGUG
rnacentral:rRNA from 1 species